AUUGAACGCUGGCGGCAGGCCUAACACAUGCAAGUCGAGCGGAUGAAGGGAGCUUGCUCCUGGAUUCAGCGGCGGACGGGUGAGUAAUGCCUAGGAAUCUGCCUGGUAGUGGGGGAUAACGUCCGGAAACGGGCGCUAAUACCGCAUACGUCCUGAGGGAGAAAGUGGGGGAUCUUCGGACCUCACGCUAUCAGAUGAGCCUAGGUCGGAUUAGCUAGUUGGUGGGGUAAAGGCCUACCAAGGCGACGAUCCGUAACUGGUCUGAGAGGAUGAUCAGUCACACUGGAACUGAGACACGGUCCAGACUCCUACGGGAGGCAGCAGUGGGGAAUAUUGGACCAUGGGCGAAAGCCUGAUCCAGCCAUGCCGCGUGUGUGAAGAAGGUCUUCGGAUUGUAAAGCACUUUAAGUUGGGAGGAAGGGCAGUAAGUUAAUACCUUGCUGGUUUGACGUUACCAUCAGAAUAAGCACCGGCUAACUUCGUG
rnacentral:rRNA from 1 species